rnacentral:rRNA from 1 species
AUACGGAGGGUGCAAGCGUUGUUCGGAUUUAUUGGGCGUAAAGCGAGUGUAGGCGGUUUGCCAAGUCGGUCGUGAAAUCUCCCGGCUCAACUGGGAGGGUGCGGUCGAAACUGGCAGGCUAGAGUACGGAAGGGGAGAGUGGAAUUCCUGGUGUAGCGGUGAAAUGCGUAGAUAUCAGGAGGAACACCGGUGGUGAAGACGGCUCUCUGGACCGACACUGACGCUGAGACUCGAAAGCGUGGGGAGCAAACAGGAUUAGAUACCCCGGUAGUCC